ACGUCGCGUUUUAUAUAGUAGACUGAUGCAGAUGUUUAUAUAUCUAUGUGAUGCUGAUGCUUUAGACUAGGUCUGAUGAUUUUAUGUUUGGAUUAAUUGCAGGCAUCAGAGGGAGUAAUGUCCUAUGCUUCAUAAGAAGUGCAUGACAUUUACACAGACAUUUCUUCCCUCGGAUCUUGCACUUAAAAGUACCACCCAAGGAUGAGGUUGCUACAACAGGUGCAUUUCUGUAGAUGCUGUUAAACAUAAAUUUCUACCAAUGAAAGUUGAUCACAGGAAAAAAGUUGUAAUUUUCUGCAAGAAGGUAUGUUUUCCUUUGUUAAACUUUGUUGUACUGGAGAAUUGCAAUUUAUUUGUUUGAAGAGAAUAUUGUGUUGCAUGUGUGGAAACUGAACUUAGAUAUGGUUUGGAAUAAUAACAAUAGAGAGAGUUGGGGUAGCACACCUAUUUUAGGAAAGAUGAUUAAUUCUUGAUUUAGCUGGUUUGAGCAUGUUAUUUGAGGAAUUGUAGAAAAUAAUAAGUCAAUAUUGUUCUAGGUUAUUCCUCAGCUCAAGGUUGGUUUAAAUAGGAAGAGUACAAAAAUAAAAGGAAAUAAUAGAUAAGCUUAGAAUCUCCUAGAAAUAACAAACUAGGAAACCAAAUAUUUUCCAACACCCUCCCUCAAGUUGGUGCAUAGAUAUCUAUCAUGCCCAACUUGUCUAUCAAAUGCUCAAAGGUGGGUCUUGCUAAGCUUUUGGUCAAGCUAUCCGCAGUUUGCUGACUCGAAGUUACAAAAGGUAGACAUAUGAUUCCGGCAUCUAACUUCUCUUUUAUGAAAACUUUUUCUUUUGGUUUACUAUUAUUGGAAAACUUUUUGUAGUUGUGAAUGUUACCGGAGAACUUAGUUAAUGUGUUCACAAUGAUAGAAGGGUAAAGUUGGAAUUUUUUAUAUUUUUUUGGGGUAAAGGUAUUAAAGUUGGGGUAGGAAAACAAAAAUUUCCCCGGUCUAAACCGCAAAGUCAAAAAUAAGGCCCAAUCCGUCCAAAAAAUGAAGAUCGGUUUUCAUGGAUUUGGGUUUGCGAUUUUAGCGCGUUCCCGGGCAGUUUGAAGCGGUUAAACAUAAAAAAAAUAAAAAUAAAAACAAUAACAAACCCAAAAAUUGGAGUUUAGAUCCAUAAAAUAUGCAAUCGGAGCUGAAAGAAUCAUGAAACAAACACAAAAGGAAAGUCUUAGAAACCCUAAAUCGACAUAAAAAGUAAGAAAAAAAAUUAAAAUCGCAAAUAAAAUUAAAAUAUAACAUUUGAUUUCAACGAAGUUAAACAAACAAGUUGAAUUAUGAUCAAGUUUUGGGUUUCAAAAUGUUUCAGUCUCCGUGGGUUUGAGAUGAAGUGAGAAAGUGUGUAGAGGAGACAUGAGAAGAGCCUAGAUUCGGCGUUUUGAUUUACUCAUGCGGGCGGGUUUCGGGCACCGUCCUCUACUCGGACUCACCCCUUACCAACCCAGUUUAAACCAAUUUUUUCAACCCGCUAACCCGCGACCCAUUAUAAACCGUCCAAAUCUCUAAUUUUUGGGCGGGUUUUGUUGGGUUCGGACGGGCCUCGGUUUUUUACCCA
rnacentral:lncRNA from 1 species